GAGGAGACGAGGAAAUGCAGGAGGAAAGAGGAAGUUUAGUUACUAACUUUAUGGAAGUUCAUAGCUAGCUAGAAACUGAAUUGACUCAUGAAAAGUUGCGCUAGUUCACGUCGUUGAAUUGAAAUGUCCCUGACCAGCUAAUAACCAUAGAGUUAUUCGAGAACUCAACCUAAUCCUGACCACACACCAUUCGCCUUCCACAAACACGAGCGCACAUAUGGAAUGCGGAAACUAGCUACAAAGACACGUUGAUUCAAGAUGGGCGUUUUUUUUAAACUACAUUUGGCAAUACUUUAAAGGUCUCUGGAGCGGCGGCAGAUUUCCUUGAUUUUCAUACAAAAUGGCUGAAUACACCGAGGCGUUCGUUGAUUGGUCCAGGUACUUGGAAGAGCCUGAAAUGGGCGGGCACUUACACCUAGCAUCGCGAUUUGAUUGGUUCGUUAAAGGGGCUGACUGAGGAGGAGCAGCUGUGUGAUUUCGUUAACUUCGGGACUUUGAACCAGACCUACUGGGUCAAUAUGUCAACGUUCUUCAUACUUCAGCAGCAGAUUAGCAUGCUGGAUACAAUGGAAACCAAUGGAAUAGUCAUUUAGAUACAAACUCCACGCUGGGUAAUCAAUCAAUUAUUCAAAAGUAUUUCACAUACUUGACCGAGGUGUUUUUUGCAUGUUUUUGUUGUUGUUGUAUUAAGUGGUUUGAAACAGUUGUUACUAUUUCCAAUGCAUAAAAAAAGCAGAGGUAAUCAGAGGUGUGUGGAUCUGACCCAUAAACGACCCAUAAACGACCCCAGCUAACCCAAGACCAUCACACUCCCUGGUUCCAGCGAGAGAUCUGUAAUCUCUCACUCGCUUGCUCCUCUCUCUCUCUCUCCCCCUAACCCCACAUUCUCUCUCCACCUCCCUCUCCCCUUUCUAUUUCCCUUCAUUCAACCUAUCCUCUCCAGUCUCCCUUCUCUCCCUCCUCCCUCUCUCAUCCCAGACCCCACCCUUUCUCUUUCCCCUAGUGUACACUGUAGAGCAGGGUAAUGGAACACACAGACACCAGAGAGUCUCUGGGAAUGGAAGGUUUAUUCUGCUGACGACAGGUUUCACCUUCCCUUCGAUCCCAGUAGAACCCAUUAUUACAUUCAUGUUAAGCAAUAUGCCGUGAUGAUGGAUAUAGUUAUCAAUGAUACUGAUCAGACCUGAUGAGGAGUAUUACGAUCAAUAACAACACUAAUCAGAGUUAGAGUUAAUGCUACAUCAGAAGAUUCAACAUCACUGACUCAACAAAAUUCAUAAGCAUCAGCAUUUAAACAAUGGCUGGGCUUGACUCAAACAGUGAACCAGCCAUCCUUUACAUUAAAAAAAAAUUAAAAAUAGUGAAAUGUGUUUAUGAGUUGCACAGUGUCAUAGUGAGUCUAAUGAGGAGAUUAGUAGAUAUGAAUAGAGAUCAAUAGAUUACUAGAUGUAAGUAGAGUAUAAAUGACUUGAGAUGAUGAGAUAGAGAUGAUGACAUGGGAUGGACAGUUUAAAACAGAGAUAAUGAUGUUAUCUGAGAUGUACCAGAUGACAUGGUGUGGUUGCUUGAUUAAUUGAUUGAUUGGUUUACCUAUUGAUUUGUGAUGAUGGUACAAGCUUGCAUGUGGAGUGUGGCUGGCUAUGAUUUGGCAGAAACCAAACAAAUAAAUACACUGUAUAAAACCUGA